rnacentral:rRNA from 1 species
UACGUAGGGCGCGAGCGUUGUCCGGAAUUAUUGGGCGUAAAGAGCUCGUAGGCGGCUUGUCACGUCGGGUGUGAAAGACCGGGGCUUAACUCCGGUUCUGCAUUCGAUACGGGCUAGCUAGAGUGUGGUAGGGGGAGAUUGGAAUUCCUGGUGUAGCGGUGGAAUGCGCAGAUAUCAGGAGGAACACCGAUGGCGAAGGCAGAUCUCUGGGCCGUAACUGACGCUGAGGAGCGAAAGCGUGGGGAGCGAACAGG